UACUUGCUAGUCUUGCUACAUCAAGACA
rnacentral:sRNA from 1 species